GACGAACGCUGGCGGCGUGCUUAACACAUGCAAGUCGAACGGAAAGGCCCUGCUUUUGUGGGGUGCUCGAGUGGCGAACGGGUGAGUAACACGUGAGUAACCUGCCCUUGACUUUGGGAUAACUUCAGGAAACUGGGGCUAAUACCGGAUAGGAGCUCCUGCUGCAUGGUGGGGUUUGGAAAGUUUCGGCGGUUGGGGAUGGACUCGCGGCUUAUCAGCUUGUUGGUGGGGUAGUGGCUUACCAAGGCUUUGACGGGUAGCCGGCCUGAGAGGGUGACCGGCCACAUUGGGACUGAGAUACGGCGCAGAAUCCUACGGGAGGCAGCAGUGGGGAAUAUUGCACAAUGGGCGGAAGCCUGAUGCAGCAACGCCGCGUGCGGGAUGACGGCCUUCGGGUUGUAAACCGCUUUCGCCUGUGACGAAGCGUGAGUGACGGUAAUGGGUAAAGAAGCACCGGCUAACUACGUG
rnacentral:rRNA from 1 species